rnacentral:rRNA from 1 species
UUAUGAGAGUUUGAUCCUGGCUCAGGACGAACGCUGGCGGCGUGCCUAAUACAUGCAAGUCGAACGCUUUUUCUUUCACCGGAGCUUGCUCCACCGAAAGAAAAAGAGUGGCGAACGGGUGAGUAACACGUGGGUAACCUGCCCAUCAGAAGGGGAUAACACUUGGAAACAGGUGCUAAUACCGUAUAACACUAUUUUCCGCAUGGAAGAAAGUUGAAAGGCGCUUUUGCGUCACUGAUGGAUGGACCCGCGGUGCAUUAGCUAGUUGGUGAGGUAACGGCUCACCAAGGCAACGAUGCAUAGCCGACCUGAGAGGGUGAUCGGCCACACUGGGACUGAGACACGGCCCAGACUCCUACGGGAGGCAGCAGUAGGGAAUCUUCGGCAAUGGACGAAAGUCUGACCGAGCAACGCCGCGUGAGUGA